rnacentral:rRNA from 1 species
UACGUAGGGUGCAAGCGUUAAUCGGAAUUACUGGGCGUAAAGCGUGCGCAGGCGGUUUUGUAAGUCUGUCGUGAAAUCCCCCGGGCUCAACCUGGGAAUUGCGAUGGAGACUGCAAGGCUAGAAUCUGGCAGAGGGGGGUAGAAUUCCACGUGUAGCAGUGAAAUGCGUAGAGAUGUGGAGGAACACCGAUGGCGAAGGCAGCCCCCCUGGGUCAAGAUUGACGCUCAUGCACGAAAGCGUGGGGGAGCAAACAGG